UUAAGCGACUAAGCGUACACGGUGGAUGCCCUGGCAGUCAGAGGCGAUGAAGGACGUGCUAAUCUGCGAUAAGCGUCGGUAAGGUGAUAUGAACCGUUAUAACCGGCGAUUUCCGAAUGGGGAAACCCAGUGUGUUUCGACACACUAUCAUUAACUGAAUCCAUAGGUUAAUGAGGCGAACCGGGGGAACUGAAACAUCUAAGUACCCCGAGGAAAAGAAAUCAACCGAGAUUCCCCCAGUAGCGGCGAGCGAACGGGGAGCAGCCCAGAGCCUGAAUCAGUGUGUGUGUUAGUGGAAGCGUCUGGAAAGGCGCGCGAUACAGGGUGACAGCCCCGUACACAAAAAUGCACAUGCUGUGAGCUCGAUGAGUAGGGCGGGACACGUGGUAUCCUGUCUGAAUAUGGGGGGACCAUCCUCCAAGGCUAAAUACUCCUGACUGACCGAUAGUGAACCAGUACCGUGAGGGAAAGGCGAAAAGAACCCCGGCGAGGGGAGUGAAAAAGAACCUGAAACCGUGUACGUACAAGCAGUGGGAGCACGCUUAGGCGUGUGACUGCGUACCUUUUGUAUAAUGGGUCAGCGACUUAUAUUCUGUAGCAAGGUUAACCGAAUAGGGGAGCCGAAGGGAAACCGAGUCUUAACUGGGCGUUAAGUUGCAGGGUAUAGACCCGAAACCCGGUGAUCUAGCCAUGGGCAGGUUGAAGGUUGGGUAACACUAACUGGAGGACCGAACCGACUAAUGUUGAAAAAUUAGCGGAUGACUUGUGGCUGGGGGUGAAAGGCCAAUCAAACCGGGAGAUAGCUGGUUCUCCCCGAAAGCUAUUUAGGUAGCGCCUCGUGAAUUCAUCUCCGGGGGUAGAGCACUGUUUCGGCAAGGGGGUCAUCCCGACUUACCAACCCGAUGCAAACUGCGAAUACCGGAGAAUGUUAUCACGGGAGACACACGGCGGGUGCUAACGUCCGUCGUGAAGAGGGAAACAACCCAGACCGCCAGCUAAGGUCCCAAAGUCAUGGUUAAGUGGGAAACGAUGUGGGAAGGCCCAGACAGCCAGGAUGUUGGCUUAGAAGCAGCCAUCAUUUAAAGAAAGCGUAAUAGCUCACUGGUCGAGUCGGCCUGCGCGGAAGAUGUAACGGGGCUAAACCAUGCACCGAAGCUGCGGCAGCGACGCUUAUGCGUUGUUGGGUAGGGGAGCGUUCUGUAAGCCUGUGAAGGUGUGCUGUGAGGCAUGCUGGAGGUAUCAGAAGUGCGAAUGCUGACAUAAGUAACGAUAAAGCGGGUGAAAAGCCCGCUCGCCGGAAGACCAAGGGUUCCUGUCCAACGUUAAUCGGGGCAGGGUGAGUCGACCCCUAAGGCGAGGCCGAAAGGCGUAGUCGAUGGGAAACAGGUUAAUAUUCCUGUACUUGGUGUUACUGCGAAGGGGGGACGGAGAAGGCUAUGUUGGCCGGGCGACGGUUGUCCCGGUUUAAGCGUGUAGGCUGGUUUUCCAGGCAAAUCCGGAAAAUCAAGGCUGAGGCGUGAUGACGAGGCACUACGGUGCUGAAGCAACAAAUGCCCUGCUUCCAGGAAAAGCCUCUAAGCAUCAGGUAACAUCAAAUCGUACCCCAAACCGACACAGGUGGUCAGGUAGAGAAUACCAAGGCGCUUGAGAGAACUCGGGUGAAGGAACUAGGCAAAAUGGUGCCGUAACUUCGGGAGAAGGCACGCUGAUAUGUAGGUGAAGUCCCUUGCGGAUGGAGCUGAAAUCAGUCGAAGAUACCAGCUGGCUGCAACUGUUUAUUAAAAACACAGCACUGUGCAAACACGAAAGUGGACGUAUACGGUGUGACGCCUGCCCGGUGCCGGAAGGUUAAUUGAUGGGGUCAGCGCAAGCGAAGCUCUUGAUCGAAGCCCCGGUAAACGGCGGCCGUAACUAUAACGGUCCUAAGGUAGCGAAAUUCCUUGUCGGGUAAGUUCCGACCUGCACGAAUGGCGUAAUGAUGGCCAGGCUGUCUCCACCCGAGACUCAGUGAAAUUGAACUCGCUGUGAAGAUGCAGUGUACCCGCGGCAAGACGGAAAGACCCCGUGAACCUUUACUAUAGCUUGACACUGAACAUUGAGCCUUGAUGUGUAGGAUAGGUGGGAGGCUUAGAAGUGUGGACGCCAGUCUGCAUGGAGCCGACCUUGAAAUACCACCCUUUAAUGUUUGAUGUUCUAACGUUGACCCGUAAUCCGGGUUGCGGACAGUGUCUGGUGGGUAGUUUGACUGGGGCGGUCUCCUCCUAAAGAGUAACGGAGGAGCACGAAGGUUGGCUAAUCCUGGUCGGACAUCAGGAGGUUAGUGCAAUGGCAUAAGCCAGCUUGACUGCGAGCGUGACGGCGCGAGCAGGUGCGAAAGCAGGUCAUAGUGAUCCGGUGGUUCUGAAUGGAAGGGCCAUCGCUCAACGGAUAAAAGGUACUCCGGGGAUAACAGGCUGAUACCGCCCAAGAGUUCAUAUCGACGGCGGUGUUUGGCACCUCGAUGUCGGCUCAUCACAUCCUGGGGCUGAAGUAGGUCCCAAGGGUAUGGCUGUUCGCCAUUUAAAGUGGUACGCGAGCUGGGUUUAGAACGUCGUGAGACAGUUCGGUCCCUAUCUGCCGUGGGCGCUGGAGAACUGAGGGGGGCUGCUCCUAGUACGAGAGGACCGGAGUGGACGCAUCACUGGUGUUCGGGUUGUCAUGCCAAUGGCACUGCCCGGUAGCUAAAUGCGGAAGAGAUAAGUGCUGAAAGCAUCUAAGCACGAAACUUGCCCCGAGAUGAGUUCUCCCUGACUCCUUGAGAGUCCUGAAGGAACGUUGAAGACGACGACGUUGAUAGGCCGGGUGUGUAAGCGCAGCGAUGCGUUGAGCUAACCGGUACUAAUGAACCGUGAGGCUUAACCUU
rnacentral:rRNA from 2 species